ACUUGCUUUCUUUGCUGGCGACCGGCGCACGGGUGAGUAACACGUAUCCAACCUACCCUUUACUCGGGGAUAGCCUUUCGAAAGAAAGAUUAAUGCCCGACAGCAUAAUGAUUCCGCAUGGUUUCAUUAUUAAAGGAUUCCGGUAAAGGAUGGGGAUGCGUUCCAUUAGGUUGUUGGUGGGGUAACGGCCCACCAAGCCUUCGAUGGAUAGGGGUUCUGAGAGGAAGGUCCCCCACAUUGGAACUGAGACACGGUCCAAACUCCUACGGGAGGCAGCCAUG
rnacentral:rRNA from 1 species